AACGCACAUUGCACUCUGUGGUAUUCCGCAGAGUAUGCCUGUUUGAGUGUCAGUAACUAAUCUCAAACUCUAACGAGUUUGGACUUGAGUUCUCAACUUUUUUUAAAAAUGUUGAUGACUUUAAAGUUAUUGGUGAGCAGUUUUAGUUUAAAAUCUAAUCAGGUUGCUCUAACUUGCCAAAAAAACCAUUUGCGUUUUUCUAAGAGUUUGACAACUUUGGUGUUAUGGAUUUUUAAGACUGAUUCUACCUUACACGCGUCUUAGUACGCAAUCCUGAGCUUUUUUUUAGUCUGACUAAAAAAAACUCUUGUAACUUGACCUCAAAUCAGGUAGGGCUACCCGCUGAACUUAA
rnacentral:misc_RNA from 1 species